rnacentral:RNase_P_RNA from 2 species
AAGUGAAACUGACCGAUAAGCCGGGUUCUGUCGUGGACAGUCAUUCAUCUAGGCCAGCAAUCGCUCACUGGCUCAAGCAGCCUACCCGGGUUCAGUACGGGCCGUACCUUAUGAACCCCUAUUUGGCCUUGCUCCGGGUGGAGUUUACCGUGCCACGGACUGUUACCAGCCGCGCGGUGCGCUCUUACCGCACCCUUUCACCCUUACCUGAUCCCACUUACGUGGGCCAUCGGCGGUUUGCUCUCUGUUGCACUGGUCGUGGGUUUCCCCCCCAGGCGUUACCUGGCACCCUGCCCUAUGGAGCCCGGACUUUCCUCCCCUCCGCCCGUCUCCCCGAAAGGACGACGACGAAGCGGCGACUGUCUGGUCAGCUUC